rnacentral:lncRNA from 1 species
AUUAUCUUGCCUGAUUCUAACCACAGUUCUCCUUAUUGAGCAUCUGAUGGGUUUACAAUCUUGCCUGAUUCUAACCGUUGAAACUUAUUUGAUUUAUGGUAUGCUACAGGGAUCAAAACAAUAAACUUCUCCUAAAUCCAGAGAUAAAUUUUAUUAGUAGCAGACUCCUGGUUUAAUAUAUUUUAAGCUACAGAGACCCCUAACAUGGUUAUAUGUGAGUUUGUAGUGAUGGCAACAGAUGUUGAGCCUCUUGAAAUUAUUCUUCAUCGUCCCUUCUUGCUGAAGAUAAGGUUUUCUACAGGCGCUGUCCUUUAAGUUUAGA